rnacentral:lncRNA from 1 species
UUCGAUGUAUUCUGUGUCGUCUCUAAAUCUCUGCAAACCUUUCCUCCUCCUCUGUUCUAGUUCGCUCUGCUGUUCAUGUACCAACAAGUUAGUUAGUGAAAAAGAGCUCAAAAUUUAUCAUUCAACUAUAUGAUAAUGAUCAUGACAUUAGAUUUACACCAAGUCAUUAUAUUAUCAACCUCAGAUAUGUCCAGCUUCCUUCGAGCUUUGUCCCUCUUCUUUGCUUCCCACAUAUCAAUCUUUCUGUUUAACUUCUCAUACCUGCUUGUGUAAAACAUAUGUGAGUGUAAGCAACACACAUAAAUAUGUUUUCGUGUACUGAGACUUACUUCGCUUUGAUCUUAGCUAGUUCAGCUUUUUCCCAAGCAUCAGCUGUAGAAUCAUCUUUUCGACUGAUAUGUCCAGAACUCUGCCUUUUCAUUUCCCUAGGUGGAAGGUGCAUAGGCGAAGGUGA